UACGUAGGGUCCGAGCGUUGUCCGGAGUUACUGGGCGUAAAGCGCGCGCAGGCGGCUCGUCAAGUCUGGCGUGAAAGCCCCCCGGCUCAACCGGGGAGGGUCGUCGGAGACUGGCGAGCUUGAGGGCGGUAGGGGGCUGGUGGAAUUCCCGGUGUAGUGGUGAAAAUGCGUAGAGAUCGGGAGGAACACCCGUGGCGAAGGCGGCCAGCUGGGCCGUCCCUGACGCUGAGGCGCGAAGGCGUGGGGAGCGAAACGGG
rnacentral:rRNA from 1 species